UUCAGCGAAGCACAGCGGCUGAACCGGGCCCCACAUCGCGACGCCGGUGCUUCCCUGCCGCCCACCAGCACUGCCUGGAGGCACCGGUUCGGGACCGCAGCUCUCCGCAAAGCCGAAGCCGCGGUCCCGCUUGCAGCGCAGCCCCGGAGCGGAGCGGCCCUGCCCCCCGCGCAGAUGUCCCGCCUGGCCGGCCCGCUCCGCCGCCGCACGGGAGACGCCGCUCGGGAAAUCUGCCGCCGUCGGCAGAAGACAAAACCGCCGGCAAGCCGUCGGCCGGCGAUGAAAGGAGCGGGAGAGCGGGAGCGGCCCCGCAGAGGCCCCUCCGGAACAAUGGCGGUCCCUCAGGAGCCCGCGGCCGAGCGCUGCUGACAAAGGCGCUGGCUGCACCGGGCCGCAGCUGCUGCUUCGCGGCACGGCGAGGGAGCGCGCGUUACUUUCAUCCAAAUCCUCUUAGGCGGUGUGACCGCCAGCAGCGGGCAGCGCUCACGCUCCGCGCCGAUCCGAGCGCAGAGGGGCGAGUUCCGUGCGGCGCCUCGCGCGGUGACUGUGGGGAUGGAGCUGGGAGCGGGGCGGCGGAGGGGCGCGUGACGGAGCGCGGUGCUGUGCCGGGAAGACGCUGAACUUCUCGUGUGCUGAGGAGCCAGAUGAGCAGCACAAGUCAUUAGUCACCCAGGUCUGCUGAAUCAGACUCUGUGUCAGUGAUGCUGGAGGCAGCUCAGUCAUCUGCAGAUCUGGUCCCUGCCUGUGUAGGGCAUUGCUGGGAGAGCACAACCACAACCUCAGCCCCAAGGAGCACAAGGUCUCUUCAUUGCUAUCUCCACUUGCUGCAGAAAUCGAGUACUUCUGCACGUGGGAGGCAUGGUGCAGCACAGAUUUAUCACGGAAAAACAGAGCACUCCUUGCUGAAGACACACAGCUAAUACCUCUGAAGGCUACAGGCCUGUUGGAGGGGAGCUAAAUCAUAUGCUGGUAUGUAUUUCAUCUCGCAGCCAUAAAAAGGGUGGUUUUGUGAAUCCUUCCUACACUGAAAUGCAAUACGGACUCCCUUUGCUGCCCCUGUUAGAGGUGAGAUGCACAAGCAUUUGCUGUGGGAUCUGGAUACAAAAUGUGAGGCAAAUCCCCAGAGCAGCCUAAGAGCAGGGCUCGGAUCACCAGGCACUUUGUCUGUCCCCUGGUUGCCUCCCCAUGAGCUCCUUUAGCUCCCCACACAGGUGCGGGCUGCCAGAGACAGGCCGGGAGCAGCAAGCUCAUUGCUUAUUGAAGAGCUGCAGGUUCACAGCCAUGCUGUUGUGCAGCCUGCAGAGCAUAUUUUUGGCUACUUCAGGGGAAGAAGCACAAGGCACAGGUCUUCUCGCCUCACUGCAGCACGCUCGGGAACAGUUGUUAUGUCUCAGCCCAGAUGCUUCAUUUCAGAGGCAAACAGUGUGAUUCCUGUAUACAUUUGCUUUCUCAGUUUGUCAAGCACUUAAGUGCCUUUCAUCCUGAAGUAUCCUAAACGAUAAUAUGCACUUACGUAGCUCAAGCUCCUCUAAUGAACGAGGUCCUCCAUAAACGCUAAGUAAUUAAGCCUCACAACAGCCUGACAAUCCGGGAACAACUCUUCAUGAUUGUGCCGAGGAUGAGCAGAUGCUGCGCAGACACAGGCAGGCAGAUGGGCAGCAACAGAGGCCCUGGGCUGGGGCUGCCAGCUGAGCCCACACCAGCACUGUGGCCUCACAUCCCACACAUCAGCCGCAGCCACGUUCCAGCUCCCCUCAGCUCCUCUGCUCUGGGCUGAGGAAACCCAGGGCCCUCAGCUGCUCCUCAUACAUCUUCCCUUCUAGACCACUGCCAGGGCUUUUCGUAUGAACAAGAGAGAGAACUGAAAGCUUUUUACUUCUUUACUUUUACUUCUUCCUGCCUGCCCGCUCCCACAGCCAGGACUCGGUGGUGGGGUGCAGUGGGCCCAGACCAGACCUUGCCGCAGCACUGGUGCUGCAGAUGGUGGGACGGGGCCUUGGCACGGCUGCCAUGUCAGUGGGGAGAAGGUGCUGGUAACUCCAGGUAAUUUGCUUCCAUUUCACCUGCAAAAGGAACUUGGCAAGAGACUCUCAGGCAAGCAAUAAGCCUCAGACAUGCACUCUUCAUGGAAAUGAAAAUGGGGAAACUUCAAUACAGUUAAGAGAGCAUUUCCCAUUAGAAGACAUUGAAGCCAAAGGAAAAGAAAAUCCUAGGCAGGUCUGCCCACAGACUUCUUUUUCUCGUUCUUCUUCUACAUUUGUCAGCACUGCUGUCACCUGGUACUGGCAGCUCUGCAGUGGGAAUUUCCUUUCUCUCUGAUUUUCUUGUAGCAUUAUCACAAUCAGGAAUUGUAUGUACAACAACCGUACCUUUCAACUAAAGGAAAAGACCUUUUCGGCAAGGUCUUUCUUCAUGUCUUCUAUAGUCUCCCUUCAAAAGAUAUAAUGAAAACUAUUUUCUCAAGUUAAACAAAUCAGGAAUUAUUAGAAGCAUGCAGCUACUAUUUUGCCUCUGGUGGCAUCUCAUGUAAUUUCCAGGUAAUUUCCAGGUAAUGUAUUAAUGUUUGGACAUCACUGUCCUAUCUCCUUGCUUGUACCACUUUCUUUUGCUAACCCACAGGAUUCAGGUCUCCUGCUGGAAAGCACAGACCUAACCCCAGUGUUGCUUGACUCCUAUAAUGAGUGCAAAGAAAUAAACAUGUUCACUGACCAGUUUGCAAAGCCCCGAAGUUAAACCCCUGCCUCUCAGCCCAUACAGAGAAAGGUUUUGCCUUGCUGAUUCAGCAGCAAAGCCGAGGCACCAUGAGGCACUGUGGGAAACCCACCUCUGUGCACCUCCCAACUCUGUUAUGCCUUUGCCAGUGCUGCUAUGAUGCUGUUUCAGUGACUGGCUCCCGCCUGCUCUCUUGCCCAUGGGCUUGCCCCCUCUUUGCAUUUUGGGACCUUUUGAGCUUGUUCUUUUCUUCCCCUGCCAGUUUACCCCUCUUUUCCUUCCCCCUCUGCUAACAGCUCUCCUGUCCUCCCAGCCCUGCUCUCUGCACUCAGCUCAGUGAGCUCAUGGUGUGCCUCUGUCCCUGACAGAAAGGGACACCAGCCCUGUCCCCCACCCCAGCACGUGCUCAUGCUUUUGCUCUAAUGCUUUUCUUUGUGUCCUUUUUAUUUUCCCCCUCUCUCUUAAGGUGGGAUCUGUCUUUCCUUAUACCAGACAGUGUGAGCAGAGAGAAACCAGACUCAAGGUAAAAUUCCCAUUAACAUUAGAGGGGGCAGGAUUUCACCUCAAGUGUUUCAUGUUCUGGGUGCUGGACAACAACAUGAAAGGACUCCGCACUUGUAAAACUUGAACUGUUGCAGCCAUUUGAGCCAAGCAAAUGCAGAUGCAGAUGCUGGUGCCCCCUCUAAGCCCCUCACUGUGGCCAUGCAUGCUUCUUCCAAGACUGGUGAAGGUCAUUAAUCUCUUCUUAGCUGUUUAUUGAUGCCAUGAUGGCAGCUCUUGCUGAGCACGGAGUUCCUCCUGCACAACCUGGGCCAGGCACUGACUUUUACUGCUGCCGCCCCACAGUACCUCCAGCCUCACUGCCUUUCAAGUGCACCCCCCUUCAAUCCGUCUUCCACAUCUUGUUUGUGUUAUUGCUACUGAUGGAGCUUUACAAGCCUCUGGCUGCUUGGAUGCUGCUAGCUGAUGCCUCGCUGCUUCCUGUCUUCCUGGGACACCUCAUUCCCCCACCACUCUGGUGUCAAAUCAAAUUUCUGAAAUAUUACUGUGUCCUCUAUACUUACUGGUGGCCUUCCGCUGACCUGUUUUCAGUUUUGUCCCCACUGCUACCCUGAGUCUGCAAAGCCCCAUGGCCUGCUGCAGAUCCCACUGAUGCCUUUUGCCUUGGUCUUCCCCUUGGUCGCAGUUUCUGGUGGCUUCAUAUCCUUGGCUCCAUUUAUUGCGGCAAGCUUGCAGGUCUGCCCCUGCCUUGUCCUGCCUCUGCCUACUUACAGCCUGUCAGCUUCCCCUGGAGUCUUGAUUUUCUCACUCAUGAGUCUCUUGCUGAACUGCUGUUUAGUCCCCAGGAGGGCUGCUGCAGGAGCACAGUUUUUUCAAGUAGACAUCUCUCUUGUCUAUGCAGUUCUUGCUCCUGGCUCUUUGCUGUCAUUGCUGUCUUUCACUUGUUGGGGGGUACCCAGGGGAAAAUGUCUUGUGCUCAAAUUCCCCUGGUAGUGAAAUAUUGGAAUUUUACUGCACUGCAUUGCAACCUAUUGUCUGAAAAUAGCAUGUCAGGCUUUGAAAAAGUACCUCAUGCUCCAUGAUCUCAGUUCUUGCUUGAAUGCCCUUCACUUAGGCAGUUAUUUUUUUUAGAAAGAGAAUUACCAAUUUGCUAUUACCAUAUAGUUCAUGUCUUUAAAAUUGAGUGAGUCCAUUCUGGUCAUUUUUUAAAGCUUUUUUUUUUCUUGGACUGAUCACUUGAUGCUUGCACACUUUGCAGUGAGCAUCCCAUUCUGGCAUCAGAGCUACUCCCUGGCUUAAUGGCAUGUCCGUCCCCUGUCACAGUCUGCUGGGACCAUAGCUUUGGCUGCUGUCCCUGGCUACAGAUGGCCUCCUACCAAGCAGCAGCAAGAGCUUCUUUGGCAGCACCCUCUUGCAGUUGGCUAUAAGCUGCCUUACUCUCUGCAGCACCCCAAGUUUUCAGUGCUCCGUUAGAUGCCUGGGCAUCUCAACACAUUGCCAGCAUGUGUUAAAUACUGUUUGUUUGCCUCAGAGAAAUGCACUUUGGAUGUUGUUGCCGUGGUACAACUUUAUGUUCUACAAAAGUACUAAAAAUAACCAUGUAGUUGCUUGUGCAAUUUAAUGUGUCAUCAGGACUUCUCAGGGAUCUUUACUGUGACUCUGCCCAUCUGCUCCAUGCCCAAGGCUGAACUAAAAGAUUCAAUGGAAAUAGGGGGUGGAAACUCUUCUCUCAGCCUUGCUCUGUUCUUGGGGACGGCCGUGCUCUGCCAGCAGCUGCCCAGGGCUGCAGGAUUCUGCCCUGUUUUCUGCCAGGUGUCCUCGUGAGGAUGCCAGGAGCCCUGGCUGUCCUGCAGAACUGGGGCUGGCAUUUCACCAGGGAAGCCAUCGGGGUGCCUGUUCCAGGGCUCCCAAGAGUGAGGAAAGACAGCAGCUGUCUGUCUGUACAAAUGGCCAGAUGUCUUUUGGUUGGACUUGUCACUCAGAGUUCUUCAGAAAUCAACAGGUGUCAAACGGAGGAGAUUAGCACUGAACUAAACCUGUUUCGCACUAAUAUUCUCCUGACCUUUGUGCUGAGGUGGCAGAGUGCAGCCACGCGUUCCCAAUGGCUUUCUCUGGCGUACCGCUCUGUCUGUAACAUGCUCACUGUGCUGGGGAGACUCUGGUGCCAGCUCAGCUCUCACUGCAGCAUCUCCAAGCCUGGAUGAACGCCGGGCACUCCCUGCCAAGCUCCUGCCAGCAGCUGCAGCCAGUGCUGGUAGGAGGCUGAUGGCUCAUCUGGCUCAGGAAGCCAAGACUUCCCGAGGGCAGUGUGGCAAAUGCUCUGUGCACUACUAGGGAGCGUUUCCUCAGCCAUUAAUAAUUCUCAAUAUUCAGCUCAGCCGCACUGGGACAGCGUGGAUGCUGUGCUUACCUGGCGGCUUUCUCACAGUGUCAGGCAGAGUCUUCCUAUGCUGGGAUUAGAGGAUGAAUGACGCGCGUCCUUUUGGACUGUCUCACCAAAACAAAAGGCCUGCAGCUUGGCAGUCAGAUCUGCACCCUGCAGAGCAGCACACACCUCAGCCUUCAGAGGUUGUUCUCCCCCUGGACCUCUUCCCUGGAGGACCACACAGACCCUGCCUAGACUUCCCUCCUGGUGCAGAUGUGGGGGUGCUCCAAGCUCAGGUGAUGGCAGCUCUGGCUGCGCUGUAGGAUUUUUGGAGUUUUGUCCCCUUUCUCCAUCUCACCCUGCUCUUCAGCAAUGCCCCACGUGCUUGGCUUCACCAACAAUCAUUUCACUUUCUUCUGUGACCAGCACUGCAAACUGCCUUCUCUCUGGUGGUUUGUCCUUUUUCCUUUUUUCUGCUAUACCUGCUGUAUUAAAAUAAGAAGUGAUGUGUUUCUCCAGCCCUUUCACUCUUAUUUAAUGGCUAGGAAUUGGUUUUCAGCUUUUGUGUUGCCCCUUGCAUUAAAUAUCCUGGAGCUAUGGUACUACAGUCUUGGCCUAUAUCCUUGCGGGUUCUUUCAGAAUAGAGCUACAUAUCUGCUCUACCCUGAUAUUAUUAAUACUUUUUUUUUUUUCCCCCAGGACAGUUUGAUGGCCCUUACAAUUUUGCAGCAUUUAUCUAUGGCUUAGAACCUUUUCUUUCACCAGUCACUCCUACAGGUUGGAAACAUGCAACUCAGGUGACCUGGUCACUAAUUCCCGUGUGUGGUACAAAUCUCUAUUUCCUUAGGCAGCCAUCUGCUUGGAGCAGGCUAUCACCCAACUCUGUUAUGCAUUGUUUCUGUGUUUCGGGAAUUAUUCUUUGCUGAAGUUUCACUUACACAUUGUCAUCUAGUGUGUUGAGAGUAAGCACAAAACCAAGACAAAGUCAAUUAAAAAUCUUUACCUUUGA